rnacentral:rRNA from 1 species
UACCAGCACCCCGAGUGGUCGGGACGAUUAUUGGGCCUAAAGCAUCCGUAGCCGGUUCUACAAGUCUUCCGUUAAAUCCACCUGCUUAACAGAUGGGCUGCGGAGGAUACUAUGGAGCUAGGAGGCGGGAGAGGCAAGCGGUACUUAGUGGGUAGGGGUAAAAUCCGCUGAUCCAUUGAAGACCACCAGUGGCGAAGGCGGCUUGCCAGAACGCACUCGACGGUGAGGGAUGAAAGCUGGGGGAGCAAACCGG